AGAAUCAACGCUGGCGGCGUGCCUAACACAUGCAAGUCGCACGAGAAAGUGGAGCAAUCCAUGAGUAAAGUGGCGCACGGGUGAGUAACACGUGAAUAAUCUACCUCCGAGUGGGGAAUAACUGAGAGAAAUCUUAGCUAAUACCGCAUAAUACCCACGGGUCAAAGCAGCAAUGCGCUUGGAGAGGAGUUCGCGGCCGAUUAGUUAGUUGGCGGGGUAAUGGCCCACCAAGACGAUGAUCGGUAUCCGGCCCGAGAGGGCGCACGGACACACUGGAACUGAAACACGGUCCAGACUCCUACGGGAGGCAGCAGUGGGGAAUUUUGCGCAAUGGGGGAAACCCUGACGCAGCAACGCCGCGCGGAGGAUGAAGCCCCUUGGGGUGUAAACUCCUUCGAUCGGGAAGAUAAUGACGGUACCGAUAUAAGAAGCCCCGGCUAACUUCGUGCCAGCAGCCGC
rnacentral:rRNA from 1 species